rnacentral:rRNA from 1 species
CACAUACGCAUCCUUUGCUGAGGAUACGGUUAACGGAGCGAAAGCGACGUUCAACCGCAAAAGAAGCAGAGGGGGCUUAGUGGUGGGGUGACUGCGUACCUUUUGUAUAAUGGGUCAGCGACUUAUAUUCUGUAGCAAGGUUAACCGAAUAGGGGAGCCGGAGGGAAACCGAGUCUUAAUUGGGCGUUAAGUUGCAGGGUAUAGACCCGAAACCCGGUGAUCUAGCCAUGGGCAGGUUGAAGGUUGGGUAACACUAACUGGAGGACCGAACCGACUAAUGUUGAAAAAUUAGCGGAUGACCUGUGGCUGGGGGUGAAAGGCCAAUCAAACCGGGAGAUAGCUGGUUCUCCCCGAAAGCUAUUUAGGUAGCGCCUCGUGAAUUCAUCUCCGGGGGUAGAGCACUGUUUCGGCUAGGGGGCCAUCCCGGCUUACCAACCCGAUGCAAACUGCGAAUACCGGAGAAUGUUAUCACGGGAGACACACGGCGGGUGCUAACGUCCGUCGUGAAGAGGGAAACAACCCAGACCGCCAGCUAAGGUCCCAAAGUCAUGGUUAAGUGGGAAACGAUGUGGGAAGGCCCAGACAGCCAGGAUGUUGGCUUAGAAGCAGCCAUCAUUUAAAGAAAGCGUAAUAGCUCACUGGUCGAGUCGGCCUGCGCGGAAGAUGUAACGGGGCUAAACCAUGCACCGAAGCUGCGGCAGCGACGUUUAUGCGUUGUUGGGUAGGGGAGCGUUCUGUAAGCCUGCGAAGGUGGCCUGUGAGGGUUGCUGGAGGUAUCAGAAGUGCGAAUGCUGACAUAAGUAACGAUAAAGCGGGUGAAAAGCCCGCUCGCCGGAAGACCAAGGGUUCCUGUCCAACGUUAAUCGGGGCAGGGUGAGU